rnacentral:snoRNA from 12 species
UGUUAUGAUGAUUCACAAGACUAGAGUCUCUGAUUAUUCCAUGAAGCUCUUUCACAGUGCACUGAGUU